rnacentral:rRNA from 1 species
UACAGAGGGUGCGAGCGUUAAUCGGAAUUACUGGGUGUAAAGCGCGCGUAGACGGUUUUGUAAGUCAGAUGUGCACUCCCUGGGCUCACCCUGGGAACUUCAUUUGAGACUGCAUGGCUAGAGUAUGGAAGAGGGAAGUGGAAUUUCCGGUGUAGCGGUGAAAUGCGUAGAUAUCGGAAGGAACACCAGUGGCGAAAGCGACUUCCUGGUCCAAUACUGACGUUCAUGUGCGAAAGCGUGGGGAGCAAACAGG